AGCAGUCGCCGCGGGAAUACGUAGGUCCCGAGCGUUGUCCGGAUUUAUUGGGCGUAAAGCGAGCGCAGGCGGUUAGAUAAGUCUGAAGUUAAAGGCUGUGGCUUAACCAUAGUACGCUUUGGAAACUGUUUAACUUGAGUGCAAGAGGGGAGAGUGGAAUUCCAUGUGUAGCGGUGAAGUGCGUAGAUAUAUGGAGGAACACCGGUGGCGAAAGCGGCUCUCUGGCUUGUAACUGACGCUGAGGCUCGAAAGCGUGGGGAGCAAACAGGAUUAGAUACCCCCGUAGUCCCUGUCUCUUAUACA
rnacentral:rRNA from 1 species